CACGAACCGUGCGAACGUUAUUCGGAAUUACUGGGCUUAAAGAGUUCGUAGGCGGCUUGUUAAGUCAGGGGUGAAAGUUUUCGGCCCAACCGGAAAAUUGCCUUUGAUACUGGCGAGCUUGAGUGCGUGAGGGGUAACCGGAACGAGUGGUGUAGCGGUGAAAUGCGUAGAUAUCACUCGGAAGGCCAAAGGCGAAGGCAGGUUACUGGUACGCAACUGACGCUGAGGCACGAAAGCGUGGGGAGCAAACAGG
rnacentral:rRNA from 1 species